rnacentral:rRNA from 1 species
UACGAAGGGUGCAAGCGUUACUCGGAAUUACUGGGCGUAAAGCGUGCGUAGGUGGUUUGUUAAGUCCGUUGUGAAAGCCCUGGGCUCAACCUGGGAAUGGCAGUGGAUACUGGCGAGCUAGAGUGCGGUAGAGGUAGUGGAAUUCCCGGUGUAGCAGUGAAAUGCGUAGAGAUCGGGAGGAACACCAGUGGCGAAGGCGGCUACCUGGACCAGCACUGACACUGAGGCACGAAAGCGUGGGGAGCAAACAGG